UCCCUGGUGGCUCAGACGGUAAAGCGUCUGCCUGAAAUGCAGGAGACCCGGGUUCAAUCCCUGGGUUGGGAA
rfam:TPA: Bos taurus chromosome 13, whole genome shotgun sequence.